rnacentral:rRNA from 1 species
CUACGUGCCAGCAGCCGCGGUAAUACGGAGGAUGCGAGCGUUAUCCGGAUUUAUUGGGUUUAAAGGGUGCGUAGGCGGCCUGUUAAGUCAGCGGUGAAAUCUAGGAGCUUAACUCCUAAAUUGCCAUUGAUACUGGCGGGCUUGAGUGUAGAUGAGGUAGGCGGAAUGCGUGGUGUAGCGGUGGAAUGCAUAGAUAUCACGCAGAACUCCGAUUGCGAAGGCAGCUUACUAAGGUACAACUGACGCUGAAGCACGAAAGCGUGGGUAUCAAACAGGAUUAGAUACCCUGGUAGUCCACGCAGUAAACGAUGAUAACUGGGCGUAUGCGAUAUACAGUAUGCUCCUAAGCGAAAGCGUUAAGUUAUCCACCUGGGGAGUACGCCGGCAACGGUGAAACUCAAAGGAAUUGACGGGGGCCCGCACAAGCGGCGGAGCAUGCGGAUUAAUUCGAUGCAACGCGAAGAACCUUACCUACUCUUGACAUCCAGA